UACGGAGGGUGCAAGCGUUAUCCGGAUUCACUGGGCUUAAAGGGUGCGUAGGAGGGCAGGUAAGUCAGUGGUGAAAUCUCCAAGCUUAACUUGGAAACUGCCGUUGAUACUAUCUGUCUUGAAUACCGUGGAGGUGAGCGGAAUAUGUCAUGUAGCGGUGAAAUGCUUAGAUAUGACAUAGAACACCAAUUGCGAAGGCAGCUCGCUACACGAAUAUUGACUCUGAGGCACGAAAGCGUGGGGAUCAAACAGG
rnacentral:rRNA from 1 species